rnacentral:lncRNA from 11 species
UUGUAAACAGAUGGUAAUGAGAAACCUAAUGCGGUUCCAAUUUGGUGUCUUCCUUUGAAGGGCAGCAUCUUCUAGCCCGCCUGAAGGCAGCGGAGCAUUUGAGGAAAGCCAAGCAAGAUCAAGUGGAGGAGAAGCAAUUGUGUCUUCCAGUAUUCACUACCAUCACUCCCUAGUUCUUGGCGUCUUUUGCCUUCCUUUAUUUAAUAGUAUUUGUUUAAUAGUUUAAUAGAAACACAAUUGUGUUUCUUCCAAUAUUCUUAGUAAAAGGGAUGCAUUUAUGAUCCUACCUGUAUCUGCUGAAUGUUGACUUGGACGUACCUACUGGGACAUAAGUAAACACUCUACAGAUGACCCACAAGCAAUGAAGAAGGGAAAUAUCUUAUUUCUAAGCUUCCACGGCUACUAGCUUUUUCUCUCUCCUCUCACCAGAUUAAUUGUUCUUCUUAGAUUAAGGAUUUGCAAGCAGGGGCGAUAUUGAUAUAUAACUGUAAAGGACUAUAUAAAUUG